rnacentral:rRNA from 1 species
GGGUCAGUAGGUUGGUCGUGCCACCGGUACGUACUGGUCUCACUGAUUCCUCCUUCCUGAAGAACCGUAAUGCCAUUAAUUUGGUGUUGCGAGGAAACAGGACUGUUACUUUGAAAAAAUUAGGGUGUUUAAAGCAAGCUAACGCUUGAAUACAUUAGCAUGGAAUAAUGAAAUAGGACGAUCGAUCCUAUUUUGUUGGUUUCUAGGAUUGACGUA